GACGAGCGCUGGCGGCGUGCUUAACACAUGCGAGUCGAACGGAAAGGCCCUGCUUUUGUGGGGUGCUCGAGUGGCGAACGGGUGAGUAACACGUGAGUAACCUGCCCUUGACUUUGGGAUAACUUCAGGAAACUGGGGCUAAUACCGGAUAGGAGCUCCUGCUGCAUGGUGGGGGUUGGAAAGUUUCGGCGGUUGGGGAUGGACUCGCGGCUUAUCAGCUUGUUGGUGGGGUAGUGGCUUACCAAGGCUUUGACGGGUAGCCGGCCUGAGAGGGUGACCGGCCACAUUGGGACUGAGAUACGGCCCAGACUCCUACGGGAGGCAGCAGUGGGGAAUAUUGCACAAUGGGCGGAAGCCUGAUGCAGCAACGCCGCGUGCGGGAUGACGGCCUUCGGGUUGUAAACCGCUUUCGCCUGUGACGAAGCGUGAGUGACGGUAAUGGGUAAAGAAGCACCGGCUAACUACGUG
rnacentral:rRNA from 1 species